rnacentral:rRNA from 1 species
AGAGUUUGAUCAUGGCUCAGAACGAACGCUGGCGGCGUGGAUAAGACAUGCAAGUCGAGCGCUGAUUACAGGGUAGCAAUAUUCUGUAGUCGGAGCGGCGCAAGGGUGCGUAACACGUGGGUAAUCUGCCAUGAAGUUUGGGAUAACUUGCUGAAAGGCGAGCUAAUACCGGAUGUGAAAAUUGGUUGGCAUCAAUUGAUUUUCAAAGCUGGGGACCGUAAGGCCUGGCGCUUCAUGAUGAGCCCGCGGCCUAUCAGCUAGUUGGUAAGGUAACGGCUUACCAAGGCUAAGACGGGUAGCUGGUCUGAGAGGACGACCAGCCACACUGGAACUGAGACACGGUCCAGACACCUACGGGUGGCAGCAGUCGAGAAUUUUUCACAAUGGGCGCAAGCCUGAUGGAGCGACGCCGCGUGGGGGAUGAAUGGCUUCGGCCCGUAAACCCCUGUCAUUUGCGAUCAACCCUCGUUAUUUAAAAGAUGACGAGCUGAUAGUAGCGAAAGAGGAAGGGACGGCUAACUCUGUGCCAGCAGCCGCGGUAAUACAGAGGUCCCAAGCGUUGUUCGGAUUCACUGGGCGUAAAGGGUGCGUAGGUGGCGGGGUAAGUCGGAUGUGAAAUCUCGGAGCUCAACUCCGAAACUGCAUUGGAAACUACCUUGCUUGAGGGUUGGAGGGGGGACUGGAAUACUUGGUGUAGCAGUGAAAUGCGUAGAUAUCAAGUGGAACACCAGUGGCGAAGGCGAGUCCCUGGACAACUCCUGACACUGAGGCACGAAAGCUAGGGGAGCAAACAGGAUUAGAUACCCUAGUAGUCC